UAUUGGGCAAUGGAGGAAACUCUGACCCAGCGACGCCGCGUGCGGGAUGAAGGCCUUCGGGUUGUAAACCGCUUUCAGCAGGGAAGAAGCGAGAGUGACGGUACCUGCAGAAGAAGCACCGGCUAACUAUGUGCCAGCAGCCGCGGUAAUACAUAGGGUGCAAGCGUUGUCCGGGAUUAUUGGGCGUAAAGAGCUCGUAGGUGGUUCGUCACGUCGGAUGUGAAAAUCUGGGGCUUAACCCCAGACCUGCAUUCGAUACGGGCGAGCUAGAGUGUGGUAGGGGAGACUGGAAUUCCUGGUGUAGCGGUGGAAUGCGCAGAUAUCAGGAGGAACACCGAUGGCGAAGGCAGGUCUCUGGGCCAUUACGACAGCGAGGAGCGAAU
rnacentral:rRNA from 1 species